UUGUCCCAGAUGAGGGGAUCCCCCUGAGAAGGAAGUAAAGCUGGAUAGCAGCAGUGAAGGUGAAGCAUUGUGAAGGUGGUCUACUUGCAAGAUAUCCCAGCCCAGGAUGCCAGAGGACAGGUUCCGUGCAGAGAGGCAGAGCCGAAGUUUGCGAUCGGCCGCACCGAAGCCGG